rnacentral:lncRNA from 1 species
GCAACCUCUGCCUCCCGGGUUCAAGCAAUUCUCCUUGAUCCGCCCGCCUCGGCCUCCCAAAGUGCUGGGAUUACAGGCGUGAGCCACUGCGCCCGGCCUGUUAAAGGUUUUUUGUCGGGGGAGGGGGUCUGCUUUUUUGUGUUACUAACAUCUGCUCUGUUGCAUUACACAUAAAGAUUCCAGAAAUAUUCUUAAAUGACUUCUAUAAUUUAGUUCACAAGCUUUAGCAAACAACAGAAUCACCUGGAGGGCUUGUUAAAACACAGGUUGGCCGGGCGUGGUGGCUCCUGCCUGUAAUUUCAGUACUUUGGGAGGCCAAGGCUGGCAGAUCUUUUGAGCCCAGGAGUUCAAGACCAGCCUGGCCAACAUGGCGCAACCCUGUCUCUAAGAAAAAUAAAAAAAAUUAGCUGAGCAUGGCGGCACUUGCCUGUAGUCCUAGCUACUCUGGUGGCUGGCUGAAGUGGGAGAAUCACCUGAGCCCAGGAAGUCAAGGCUGCUGCAGUGAGCCAUGAAUGUGCCACUGCACUCCAGCCUCGGUGAAGUGAGUGAGGCCCUGUCUAAAAAUAUAUAUAUUUAAAAGAACAAACAAAGAAAAGCACAGGUUGCUGGGAGUCCCACCCUCAGUUUCUUUCUCUGUGGUCUGAGAUGGGGGUGAGAAUUUGCAUUUCUAACAGGCACCCAGCUGGUGCUGCUGCUGCUGGUUUGGGGUCCACACUUAAGAGAUCUGCUGCUGUAGUCCACGUGCAGAUCCACAACUGGCUUCUGAAGUAAUGGGGCUUCAAAGUGAGAUUGCCCAAGUUCAAAUCUCUGCUUCACCAUUUUAUUAGCUCUGUGACCUUGGAAGAGUUCCUCAACCUCCAGAUCUGUUUCUUCAGUAAAGUGGGGUUAGCAAUGGUUCAGACCUCACGGGACUGUUGAAAAGAGUAAAUGAUUUAUUUUGGAUAAAGUACCAAGAACAGUGCCUGGUAUUUGCAGUGAUGAUUUGUUCUUUGUUCUCUGAUGUUUUUUUCUUUUAAACCUUUUUCAGUAACGCAUCCCCAAUUAAUAGAAUUGUACAAAUCAGUGGCAAUUCCAUGCCAAGAGGAAGUGGCUCCGGAUUUAAGCCAUUUAAGGGUGGACCUCCGCGACGAUUCUGAAAAUGAGCUCUCUGCCAAGGUUUUAAGAUAAUUUAUUGAAAUCUCCUGUAAACUUUACUUGACUACUUAUGAAGAGGACCUCUGACUUGCUUGAGAGUUCUGUCAGACUUUUCUUUUUAAAAAUUUAACAUGAUUGCUUUUCUCAAUUUUGGAGAAGAUGUUUAAAUAGUUCUGUUGUAACUUUUAAUAGUUUUGUGUAUCAUUCAACUUUUUUUCUUGCAGCACCGAGGCACAUUUGAAAAGAUGGAAUUGAAGUCGUUUUGUUUAACGCUGUGUGAAUAUAAAGAGUAGUUUGCAGCUGUGUGGUAGUGGUUUAAUUUGCAGCCUUAGCUCUGUGGUGUCUGGCUCUAGAGUUACUUCUUUUUACCAAGCAUUUUCAGCCUCCAUUUUGAAGGCUGUCUACACUUAAGAAGUCUUAGCUGUCUAAUUUUUAGAGAAU